GACGAACGCUGGCGGCGUGCUUAAUACAUGCAAGUCGAACGAACGCAGCAAUGCGUUAGUGGCGGACGGGUGAGUAACGCGUGAGUAAUCUGCCUUUAACUGGGGAAUAGCCAUUGGAAACAGUGAUUAAUACCGCAUAUGACCACAACACGGCAUCGUGAAGGGGUGAAAGAUUUAUCGGUUAAAGAGGAGCUCGCGUACUAUUAGCUUGUUGGUGGGGUAAUGGCCUACCAAGGCGACGAUAGUUAGCCGGCCUGAGAGGGUGAACGGCCACACCGGAACUGAGACACGGUCCGGACUCCUACGGGAGGCAGCAGUAGGGAAUAUUGGGCAAUGGAGGCAACUCUGACCCAGCAACGCCGCGUGAAUGAAGAAGGUUCUCGGAUUGUAAAGUUCUUUUCUCAUAGAAGAAAGCAAUGACGGUAUAUGAGGAAUAAGCCCCGGCAAACUACGUGCCAGCAGCCGCGGUAAUACGUAGGGGGCAAGCGUUGUCCGGAAUGACUGGGCGUAAAGGGUGUGUAGGUUGUUGUGUGCGUCAAAUGUGAAAGCCCUGGGCUUAACCCAGGAACUGCGUUUGAUACGGCAUGACUAGAGUGUGGGAGAGGUUCAUGGAAUUCCCGGUGUAGCGGUAGAAUGCGUAGAUAUCGGGAGGAACAUCAGAGGCGAAGGCGGUGAACUGGACCAUAACUGACGCUGAAACACGAAAGCGUGGGGAGCAAACAGGAUUAGAUACCCUGGUAGUCCACGCCCUAAACGAUGAAUACUAGAUGUUGGUGGUAUCGACUCCAUCAGUAUCGUAGCUAACGCGAUAAGUAUUCCGCCUGUGUAGUACGGCCGCAAGGUUGAAACACAAAGAAAUUGACGGGGACCCGCACAAGCAGCGGAGCAUGUGGUUUAAUUCGAAGAUACCCGAAAAACCUUACCAAGACUUGACAUCCCGGGCAUAGCCGCGAAAUCGGCGAAAGGACCUCAAAAAUCCACCGGUGACAGAUGGUGCAUGGUUGUCGUCAGCUCGUGUCGUGAGAUGUUCGGUUAAGUCCGAUAACGAGCGCAACCCUUGUUAAUAGUUGCCAGCAUUCAGUUGGGCACUCUAUUGAGACUGCCGUAGAUAAUACGGAGGAAGGUGGGGAUGACGUCAAAUCAUCAUGCCUCUUACGUCUUGGGCUACACACGUGCUACAAUGGUCGCUACAAAGAGUCGCAAUCCGGUAACGGUGAGCCAAUCUCAAAAAAGCGAUCUCAAUUCAGAUUGAGGGCUGCAACCCGCCCUCAUGAAGUCGGAGUUGCUAGUAAUCCCGAAUCAGCAUGUCGGGGUGAAUGCGUUCCCGG
rnacentral:rRNA from 1 species